UUAGCACCAAUGGCACACCCUCCUCCUCUCCCCCCUAGGGUUUUCAGUUGCAUCAUCGGCUUCCAGAGGGGCCGGGUGGUCGAGAUCUUUAACAGCUUUGAGCUGCUAUACGACCUCUCCACCGACUCCCUCAAUUGCUCCUUCCUCGAGAAGAAGCAAGCUGUAAGCACACAUCCUUAUACUCUCUCCUAUCUCUUUGUUUUUAUCUAAUUUCUGCCUCUUCCAGGGUUUUAGCUUCUGCUCUUCUCCAAAAUUUCCCCCAGCCAAAGAAUGCACGAUUGGGCCAGGUCGACCUUCUUCUGUGAUUCUCGGCAUUCGUCAAGUUUCUGGUUUUUGAACUAUGGAUAGAACAUGUAGGACGCCUGAGCAAUGUAUCAGGUGGAACCCACUUUAGUAGAUGGUCAAGAUUUCAGGCUGUUUCUGUGAUCCGGGGCAUUCGAGUUGUGGAACUGUCUCAUGCCUCCAAAACUCUCCCCAAUCAGACAAUAGGCCAUUGGCCGAUUGCCAAUUUGUGCAAUACCAAUUAGAUGGUUUAGGUCUAUCUGAUGGAGGAGGUUUUUGGGGAUUGGCCCAUGUGGCGAAUGGCCCAGAUGCAGAAAGAUGUCCCGGCAUGUUUUUUUUGGUUGAGCACUAUGAGAUAACUACUGUACCUAUACUCGGAUGGUAUUCGACAGGGAGUGAUGCUCAGGAAUUGGACAUGCAGAUUCAUAAAGCUGUGAGUGUCGCAUCUCUAUUACUGUUUUUAAUAUUGCAAGCUCGUAAGGUUUACAGAUUUUCUAAUGAGAUAUCUGUUAAGAAUAGAGACCCUACAUGUUCUUAAGUUUUAAUUUUGUGUUGAUGUUAGUUGCUGUUAUGCUAUUCAUGUGUGGGUUUAGUUCUGCAUCGGCUAGUUCAAAAAAGUCACUUGUGACUCCUAUCUAUAUAAAGGGAUUUACGUCCUGUUGGUUGAUUUCUUAGAUAAUGGUACUUUAUGAACUGGGGAGAUGUAAUAUGGUAAGAGUGCCCCAUCCCUUUUUGAAUUUAAUACGUAUGGUUCUUAUUUUUGGUUUUGUUACUAUGUUAAAUAUCAUUUCAUUUGGUUCCUGCUUUCUUUCUUUUUUUGCCUUGUCACAGUCUCAUUCGGCGUAUGCUUUGUGCAUUUUUUGCUCCAUUGGAUCUUUGCACACCAGAAAUUACAAAUCCUUUUUUUUUUGGGGAAAUUAUAACUGGAUAUGUUGAGAAGUAAGGCAAAGGAUAAGGCUUUAAGCGGAGAGGUUUGUAAAGGUUCUCUUAAAGACUCAGAGAAAUGUUGUGGCAUGGGCUGCAUGCAUGCUUAAUGGCUUUAGUGGAAUUUUCUCCUGGGUUCUCUUUGUUUGUAAUAUGGAUGAAUCAGAUCUCGGUUACAGGGCUUCUGUUUGGUGAAAUUUGUGGUUUUCGGGACUUAAUUUUCUUAGAUCUGCUUGUGCUCUUUGAGUAUAAAUGUGUUGAGUUGGAGAUGGUUUUGAGAAUUUUUUCUAUCUGGGGCAGUGGUUUGUUUGGUUCAACUUGUGGUUUUUCAUUUCUUUAAUGUGUUUUUAUAGGAGUGUCUGUGUGAUACAAUGGAUGGUUUUGAUGGUGCUGUUUGUGUGCAUUCAGACUUAAACGGAAUUCUUCUUCUCAGAUCUGGUUGCAGUUCCUGUGUAUUUUAUGGACACCAGUUAUUCUUGCAUUUCCUUGUUGUUAGAGCUGGUAUCUUGAUGUCCUGUUCUUAGAAAUUCAUAGUUUCUCAGUCUUCCACCAGAUUCUGCUUGCAGCUGCUGAGAAUGUAUUUUUGGUUGUACCUUAUUGGGUGUUUCAUAGUUAUAGAUUGGAGUGUUUCAUAGUUGUACCUUAUUCAUUUUAUGUGUCAAGGUAGACCCUAGCAUUUUUUUUUUUCCGCUGGAUACUAGUAGUCUUUUCAGUGAUUCUAUGUGCUGGAUGUAAUUGCUUUGGAUAACGUUGGAUUGUGGGUAUUUUUUACUGGGGUUUCAGGUUCUGAACAGGCCUUUGGUGUGAAUGAGUUCAAUUAUACACAUGGCAAUGGAAAGGUGGUGCUUCAGUGGCAAAUGCAAGGGCAGAGAGAAGACAUUGAUCUGUCAUCUUCCUAAAGACACGGUUCUCAACACCUGAUUCCACUUCUCACCAGUGGGCAACCGAUGAAGGAAGCAAGAGACAGCUAUGGAUAAUUGCUCUGGUACUUGUCCCAUCGAUGCUUCUUUUAUUCGGCGGCAUCAUUUGUUAUUUCCGGAGGAGAGCACUCGUCUGGCUUAGAAGAGAGCUUAGACGUAAAGUCAAGAGAGAAACAAAUGGGGCAGCAUCACUGUUUGAUUUAGGAAUUAACAUGGUGACACUGACAACCAACAAAUCUCUGGAGGUGGGAAGGACAGCCUUGACUUUCAUUUAUUCGAUUUUGCUAAUAUUUCAGCUGCUAUAGAUAACUUCACCAUCGCAAAUAAGCUGGGAGAGGGUGGUUUCGGACCCGUUUACAAGGGUAAGUUAAACAAGGGACUAGAAGUAGCUGUGAAAAGGCUUUCUCAAUGAUUCAGUCAGGGGUUAGAAGAGUUCAAAACUGAGAUUAUGCUCCUCACCAGGCUCCAACAUAUGAAUCAUGGUCGGCUUUUGGGUUGCUGCAUUGAAGAAGAAGAAAAGAUCCUAGUCUAUGAGUACACGCCGAACAAAAGCUUGGAUACCUUCAUUUUUGCUUAGUUCACUUCUCUUUUAACUAUUUCCAUAACUGAGUUAUAUGCUUGAGCAUGGUCAAAAAUUCAGUGGAUCAUAAUAUUUGUUUGUAUUUGUACAUUUUUAUUAAAAAUAUGGAACUAGAUCUGGCAAAAUGGAAGUUGUUGGACUGGGGAAAAUGCAUGCGAAUCAUUAAUGGGAUUGCUCAGGGGCUUCUGUAUCUUCACAAGUACUCGAGAUUGGGAAUUAUUCAUAGAGAUCUAAAAGCCAGUAAUAUUCUUCUGGACUUUGAAAUGAACCCCAAAAUAUCAGAUUUCGGCUUGGCAAGAUGAUGAGGACAUCACUUCACGCACA